rnacentral:lncRNA from 1 species
AGGUGGUAAAUCCUGGCCAAGGCUCCUCGAGCCAGGCCGGCUGGCAGUGCUGCAUCGUGCUGAAGGCGCUGAGGUUGCAGCGGAUGCAUUCCGGGCCAGUGAUAUGAUGUGGACAGGAAAAGUCUUUUGUUCUGGGAAAAUGGAGGACUGAAACCUCUUCAUGUCUUUUUCCCAGGCCCUGAUUUAGGAAGACCAAAACAGGGACUUCUACAGUAGCAGCUUAAUCAGCAGAUGCUGGGUGGUCGCCUCUGCACAUGGCCUGGGGGGCGGGGCGCCUUACCGCGUCACACUGGGUGGAUGGGCCUGUGUGUGGCCUCUCUCCAGCUGUGGCUGACAGUACUCACUCAGCCCAGGCUUCCAGGCCCUCCUGGGCCCUCCUAUCCACUGAAGGAAAUGGGAGAUGAGUGGGUAAUGGAAAAGCCUUUGGAGUCAGAUGUAAAUCCAUGACUUGACCACUUAUUGCUGUGAGACCCUGGACAGCUGGAUAUAGAGUUCUUGUUCUAGCAUCCGCCCUGGGAAUCCCCGGAACUGGGCCUCUUACCGACACCAUUGCCUGUAAUCCACAAACCUAGGAGUUACUCCAGUUACUGUCCUACUGAAGGACCCCCAUCCCAUCUGGGCUACUAUAACCACAUGGACCAUCCCUUGCUUCAAUCAUAGAAUUCUUUCUUCAGAUCAAAGUAUAUUCAGACACUCGAUACAGUAACAAAAGCAAGCUAUCCUGGAAGGAAGAAGGAAUCAGGAGGCAGAGCACAUGGUUAAAGCAUGAGAUGUGAAACCAGGAAGAACCAGGUCUGAACCUUAGCUCCACCAGUGGUAGCUUCAAACCUUGGUCCUUUCUGAGCCUGCUUCUUCAACCGUAAGGGAACGCUACACUUCCUUAGAAAUUAAGAGUGUGUGCUACACUGCUUUACCAGAGCAAGGCCAAAAGCAGCUUCAAUUAUGGUACAACUGUGUGAAGACACAAUGCAAAACCACUCAAGAAUGCUCACUCAAAUGGAUUUUUACCAUGCUCAUCCCCUAUUCUCUUCUUGCAAUCGGGAUGCUGCCUGACUACCAACACACCUGCACAAAGCCCUCUGCAGCACCUGCCACUGGCCCAUGCUUUUGUCAUUGCCACCUCCAGCUCAGCCUCAUUCCCCUCCAGGCUCUGCUCCAACGCACAGGACCACAGGAACUCGGAAACGGGACCCAGAAAGUUGUUUUCUCAAGUGGAUGGAACAACACAAGCAAUCAGUAUCCUGAAACAGGCCCUGUUCCAACAAACUGACCCAGAAAGAGGUUAUACCAAUUAUCUCUCCAGCAAGUAUGAGGACUCCUGUUUCCCUACGUACUCACUACUACAGCAAAGAUAUCAAACAUUGAUACCCACCAAUCUCUGGAUGGAAAAACAAAUCUCAGGGUAGAAUGGAUGGACUUUGUGCAACAUAAUGUGACAGUUAAGGCUGUGGAAUUUAGAGUCAGAAAGACCUGAGGUCCAAGCCCCAGCUCUGCUAUUUUCUACUAUGUGAUCAAAGGACAUUUUCCUAACUCUUCAAAGCUUCCAUGUCCUUGAUCUGAUGGAAUUAGGAAUACUAUCUAUACCGUAGAGGGCAGUUCUGAGGACUAAAAGCAUGCAAAGCCGUUAGCACAGAGCCUGUGAAUAUUCAA